UAAUACGUAGGGUGCGAGCGUUAAUCGGAAUUACUGGGCGUAAAGCGUGCGCAGGCGGUUUUGUAAGACAGAUGUGAAAUCCCCGGGCUUAACCUGGGAACUGCGUUUGUGACUGCAAGGCUAGAGUACGGCAGAGGGGGGUGGAAUUCCUGGUGUAGCAGUGAAAUGCGUAGAUAUCAGGAGGAACACCGAUGGCGAAGGCAGCCCCCUGGGCCUGUACUGACGCUCAUGCACGAAAGCGUGGGGAGCAAACAGGAUUAGAUACCCUGGUAGUCCACGCCCUAAACGAUGUCGACUAGUCGUUCGGAGCAGCAAUGCACUGAGUGACGCAGCUAACGCGUGAAGUCGACCGCCUGGGGAGUACGGCCGCAAGGUUAAAACUCAAAUGAAUUGACGG
rnacentral:rRNA from 1 species